CAAAAUUCACUAAAGCGGCGAAAGACUCAUCGAGCCGCCUGGUAGCUGGUUUCUUCUGAAAUUUCCCUUAGGAUAGCGGACAAUCGUUGUGAAUAGAUAACCGUGGUAAAGCAACAAUAGAUAGAAUGAGGGAAAUAAUUUUCCUUCACUAUCAUUUGGAACUUUAAAUAUGGUUGUGAAAUGGAAUUAUUUGAUUAAAUUCGCAUUUUUAAUUAGAUGGUUGUUUAGUGGGCCGGUCUUGGUAAGCAGGAUUGGUAAUGCGGGAUGAACCGAACGCAUAAAUAAGAUGCCAAAAUAUAUGUUAAUAGAUACCACAAAGGAUGUAAAAUAAUAGAGACAGAAGGAAAGUGGUCAUGGAAGUCGAAAUCUUCUAAGGAGUGUGUAAAAACUCACCUUUCGAAUUAUUUUACUCCGAAAAUGGAUGGCGCC
rnacentral:rRNA from 1 species